GAUGAACGCUAGCUGCAGGCUUAACACAUGCAAGUCGAGGGACCGGCGCGCGGGUGAGUAACACGUAUCCAACCUGCCCUUUACUCGGAGAUAGCCUUUCGAAAGAAAGAUUAAUACCCUAUAAAAAGGAUGGGGAUGCGUUCCAUUAGGUUGUGGGUGCGGUAACGGCCAACCAAGCCUUCGAUGGAUAGGGGUUGGGAGAGGAAGGCCCCCCACAUUGGAACUGAGACCCGGUCCAAACUCCUACGGGAGGCAGCAGUGAGGAACAUUGGGCAAUGGGCGUUAGCCUGAACCAGCCAAGUAGCGUGAAGGAUGAAGGCUUAUGGGUCGUAAACUUCUUUUAUAGAAGAAUAUGUAUUAGAUGAAUAAGGACCGGCUAACUCCGUGCCAGCAGCCGCGGUAAUAC
rnacentral:rRNA from 1 species